rnacentral:rRNA from 1 species
UACGUAGGGGGCGAGCGUUGUCCGGAUUUAUUGGGCGUACAGAGCUCGUAGGCGGUUCGGCAAGUCAGAUGUAAAAACUCCAGGCUCAACUUGGAGAGGCCAUCUGAUACUGCCGUGACUAGAGUCCGGUAGAGGAGCACGGAAUUCCUGGUGUAGCGGUGAAAUGCGCAGAUAUCAGGAGGAACACCAGCGGCGAAGGCGGUGCUCUGGGCCGGAACCGACGCUGAGGAGCGAAAGCGUGGGGAGCGAACAGG